rnacentral:misc_RNA from 1 species
CGCACAUUGCGCCCCCUGGUAUUCCGGGGGGCAUGCCUGUUCGAGCGUCAUUACAACCCUCAAGCUCUGCUUGGUAUUGGGCGUCACCCCCGGGUGCGCCUUAAAAUCAGUGGCGGUGCCGUCUGGCUUCAAGCGUAGUAAUACUUCUCGCUUUGGAGUCCGGGCGAGCGUCCUGCCAAAACCCCCAUAUUUUUUCAGGUUGACCUCGGAUCAGGUAGGGAUACCCGCUGAACUUAA